rnacentral:rRNA from 1 species
CGCACGGGUGAGUAACACGUAUCCAACCUGCCGUCUACUCUUGGACAGCCUUCUGAAAGGAAGAUUAAUACAAGAUGGCGUCAUGAGUUCACAUGUUCACAUGAUUAAAGGUAUUCCGGUAGACGAUGGGGAUGCGUUCCAUUAGAUAGUAGGCGGGGUAACGGCCCACCUAGUCUUCGAUGGAUAGGGGUUCUGAGAGGAAGGUCCCCCACAUUGGAACUGAGACACGGUCCAA